rnacentral:tRNA from 1 species
GCGUGGUAGCUCAGAUGGUUAGAGCGUCGGAUUCAUAACCCGGAGGUCGGCGGUUCAAUUCCGCCCCA